rnacentral:rRNA from 1 species
UGCAUUCGAUACUGGAAAGCUACAGUAUGGGAGAGGAUGGUACAAUUCCAGGUGUAGCGGUGAAAUGCGUAGAGAUCUGGAGGAAUACCGAUGGCGAAGGCAGCCAUCUGGCCUAAUACUGACGCUGAGGUACGAAAGCAUGGGGAGCAAACAGGAUUACAUACCCUGGUAGUCCAUGCCGUAAACGAUGUCUACUAGCCGUUGGGGCCUUUGAGGCUUUAGUGGCGCAACUAACGCGAUAAGUACACCGCCUGGGGAGUACGGUCGCAAGACUACAACUCAAAUGAAUUGACAGGGGCCCGCACAAGCGGUGGAUCAUGUGGUUUAAUUCGAUGCAACGCGAAUAAUCUUACCUGGGCUUGACAUACU